ensembl:lncRNA
GACUAGCAUUCACCAAGGAUGAACUGAAAGCAGGAUCUGUCUCACCAUACACUGAGAACUGUAGAAUAUGCAAGGCACAUGGAACUUAUUUUCUUACGUAUAAAAGCGUGUAUAUGCUCCUUAUACAUCUGUCCUAAUGCUUUCCAACAGUCCUCACUCUAAGCCUCACCAAGACCCAGAUGAGGAAACAAAGGCACAGAGGGAUAAACUCAGAGCAGGAAGACAGCAAGGAAUAGCAGUGAAAAGCAUGGUGCUUAAUCCAACCCCUUACUCACUGCUGAGACCUGGAAAUGUGUUCAUCAGCUACAAAACAGGAGAGAUGAUAACUCAUUAUGUAUAUGUGAUGAUAAACAGAGACAAUAUAUUGAAGAGCUUAUAUGAGUGGCAGACACGGGACAUGCUUCCCUGUGGCUGGCCAGCGUGUCAUCUUCUCCAUGUGUCCAGAGAAAAGCUUUGCAAAUCAACCUCUCGAUGAAUGAUGACGGCACCAGUGAAAUCAGGGGAGGCAGAAAAUCAUGUUAGUUUGGUUUAUAAUGCAAGAAGUUACAGAACACAGAGUGCUCAAAACUAAGAAUGUGCUAGUUGUAUAACAGGGUCCUUCUUGGGACUCAGCCAGGAUUCAAACUAUAAAGGAAAAUCGGGUGACAGCUGCACCCUCUAAAGGCUUCUCAAAUGACAGAGCUCAAUGAAUAUAGAAGGGAAAAGUAUGAGGAUGACCUAUGAGCACAGGGUGGACAGUCUCUGCGGUGGGCAGGCAUUAGCAAAGGAGAGACCUUCUGUAUUAUGCAGGCAGGCAUCUGGUGGACCUUCUUCUUGGAUUGUGAUUCAAAAGCCCAAACCAUUCCUCACUGGUCUGAAAAAGUGGAAUUUUCCAGAGGCUACAUGAUGAGUGACGUCACGACAGAUUGAGUACAGAGCCAACUAUGAGAAUCCAGCUGCCUUCUAUUAAGGUACCCUUUCUGUGGAUACCUUCAAGUUCCAGCACCAAAUAUGAAGGCGACUGCCAUCACCAGCUCCCACCCCUACAUGAGGUCAAAUCCCUGGAUGGCAUAUAACACACUAGAGCAAUUAAGAGGAUCUAACUAAAGGUGGGGAAGGAAAAAUGUGUGUACAGAGACAGGAAGUCAUGGACACAGUUAUAUUGAAAGAUACAAUGACC